AUCAUUUUGUUGUUCAUGAGUGUGAUGGGGUGUUCACGCCAUUGUGUGACUUGUGUCUUCCUGAAACCUUGUUAUGACCUCGGCCCAUUACUUGUAUGAUG